rnacentral:miRNA from 1 species
UCUCUCCUUUCUCCUCCUAG